AGUUUGAUCCUGGCUCAGAACGAACGCUGGCGGCAGGCUUAACACAUGCAAGUCGAGCGCCCUGCAAGGGGAGCGGCAGACGGGUGAGUAACGCGUGGGAAUCUACCCUUUGGUACGGGAUAGCUCCGGGAAACUGGAAUUAAUACCGUAUGUGGCUUUUGAGCGAAAGAUUUAUCGCCAAAGGAUGAGCCCGCGUCCGAUUAGCUAGUUGGUGGGGUAAAGGCCUACCAAGGCGACGAUCGGUAGCUGGUCUAAGAGGAUGAUCAGCCACAUUGGGACUGAGACACGGCCCAAACUCCUACGGGAGGCAGCAGUGGGGAAUAUUGGACAAUGGGCGCAAGCCUGAUCCAGCCAUGCCUCGUGAGUGAUGAAGGUCUUAGGAUUGUAAAGCUCUUUCACCGGGGACGAUAAUGACGGUACCCGGAGAAGAAGCCCCGGCUAACUUCGUGCCAGCAGCCGCGGUAA
rnacentral:rRNA from 1 species